AGUAACGCGUGAGUAACCUGCAUUACACAAGGGGAUAGCCGUUGGAAACGACGAAUAAUACCCUAUGAAACUAUCACUUCGCAUGAAGCGAUAGUCAAAGUGUUAGCGGUGUAAGAUGGACUUGCGUCUGAUUAGCUAGUUGGUGAGAAAAAAGCCCACCAAGGCAACGAUCAGUAGCCGGCUUGAGAGAGUGUACGGCCACAUUGGGACUGAGACACGGCCCAG
rnacentral:rRNA from 1 species